AGCAGCCGCGGUAAUUCCAGCCCCAAUAGCGUAUAUUAAAGUUGUUGCAGUUAAAAAGCUCGUAGUUGAAUUUCGGGGUUAGUAGGUUGGUCAUGCCUCUGGUAUGUACUGGUCUCACUGAUUCCUCCUUCCUGAUGAGCCGUAAUGCCAUUAAUUUGGUGUUGCGGGGAAUUUGGACUGUUACUUUGAAAAAAUUAGAGUGUUUAAAGCAAGCUAACGCUUGAAUACAUUAGCAUGGAAUAAUGAAAUAGGACGUUCGAUCCUAUUUUGUUGGUUUCUAGGAUUGACGUAAUGAUUAAUAGGGAUAGUUGGGGGCAUUAGUAUUCAAUUGUCAGAGGUGAAAUUCUUGGAUUUAUUGAAGACUAACUACUGCGAAAGCAUUUGCCAAGGAUGUUUUCAUUAAUCAAGAACGAAAGUUAGGGGAUCGAAGACGAUCAGAUACCGUCGUAGUCUUAACCAUAAACUAUGCCGACUAGGGAUCGGGAUGAUGUUAAUUUUUUAAUGUAUUCAUUCGGCGCCU
rnacentral:rRNA from 1 species